UACGUAGGGGGCUAGCGUUGUCCGGAUUUAUUGGGCGUAAAGCGCGCGCAGGCGGCUAUUUAAGUCUGGUGUUUAAACCUUGGGCUCAACCUGAGGUCGCACUGGAAACUGGGUGGCUUGAGUACAGAAGAGGAAAGUGGAAUUCCACGUGUAGCGGUGAAAUGCGUAGAUAUGUGGAGGAACACCAGUGGCGAAGGCGACUUUCUGGGCUGUAACUGACGCUGAGGCGCGAAAGCGUGGGGAGCAAACAGG
rnacentral:rRNA from 1 species